CUAGCACACCAAGAAACACACAUAGCAAUACCAUAUUUUCUGUAAGAACGAAACUUUGCAGCCUUCUCAAUACCUUGCAGAAAACCCACCAAAAACCCAUAAUUGAAUUUCAAUAUCUAACUCCUUUUCGCUUUUCUUUGGUCACAAUUCCCUUAACAAACAAAGUAGGGAAAGUUUUUGUUUUUCUUCCCACAAAAGACUAAACUUUUUAGCCAUGGCUUCGUCUCCAAAAUUGUCUGCUGCUUAGCCUAUUCUAAUUGCCCUAAAUAUCUCUUUCCUUCAUGUCUUUGCCGCCUUCGUAAUGGGUUUUAGCGCGAUUUGCAAGCAGGAUUUGGAGUACAAAUAUAUUUGGAUUAAGCCAGUUCAGUUUUUGUUGGCUUGGACAGAAAAAAUCAGUAGUAGUAGUACUAGCAAUAGCAGUAGUCAGAAGCCAAGGAUGGUGGAGCUAUUGGGAACUCAUCUGGAGUGGAACAGAUGCAUGUGCUUUAUGGGGAUUUAAACUGGGUUUGGAUCCACCGGAUGCCGCCUGCAUCGGUCGGACUUGGUUUUCCAUUGAUCAUCAGAUAAUCGUUGGAAAACAACUCAUUCUAGCAUUAACGAGUCAAGAUUAGAGAGUAUCUUCUUAGCACCAUAGAGGAUUUUACUGGAAAACAAGGAGGUUCUAAAGACUUUACUUUAUUGAUGGAGAAUAAUACUGAUAUGGAUGGGAAAAGCCGCGAUUCAUUUUCAGAAGUUCCAGAAAAUUUUCAUGACAAGAACCAUGAGCAAAGUGGAUCAGGAAAAUUGUUGACAUGAGAGUUCAAGGAUGACAAUCUUUUGGUUUCUGCAAUUUUGAAGUGCAAAAGAUUUAUGUCUACCUGCAAAAGGUCAAUCCAUAGAUCAGAACGUCCAAGUAAGCGAAAGAACUAAAUGGGUAGUUGCAAUUUGCCUCUUCAGAGUCCUGGAAGGGGCGGUGGACAAACAAUAGUGUUGUCCUGGUUACUUCGUUCAGGAUGCAUUUCCCUUGGUGAUAUGAUCCAGUUUCGUGCUCGGAAGGCUAAAAUAUUGUGGUAAAAGAAGGUGUUAUAACUUUGGGUGGAAUAUUUUGCAAGUGCUGCAAUAAGGUGGUUUCACUCUUUGAGUUUAAUUGACAUGCUGGUUUCAGAGUUAACCGUGCUUGCUUAAAUCUUUUCAUGGAAUCGGGGAAGCCAUUUGUUUUGUGUCAGCCGAAUACAAGGCCAAGAAAGGUGCAUGUGUCACGGAUCAAAAUGAAGAGGUAGAUGAUGGAGAUGAUUAUUGUGGAUGCUGUGGUAAUGAUGGUGACUUAAUCUACUGCGACAAUUGUCCAUCUGCAUUUCAUCAUGAAUGCUUGUAUAUCAAGGAAAUACCAGAUGAAAAUUGGUAUUGUCCACAGUGCACUUGCCAGAUCUAUAGCAAUGGGAUGGAUAAAAAAGAGGUGCUAUUACCUCGUGAAAUGCUGAAAUGCAUCCAGUGCCAAAAACAUUGUCUAUCUAGGUCUUCAAGCACAAAUUGGCACCUCAAUCCUACUUUCUGAUGGAUUUCGCUGGAUACUUUUGAAGUGCAUCGAAGCUGAUCAGAAAGCUCAUUCUUCACAGAGCUUUGUUGCAUUAAAGGCAGAAUGCAACUCAAGGCUAGCUGUUGCAAUUCAAAUGAUGAAGGAAUAUUUUAUUCCCAUGGUGGAUACAAUAUCUGGUGUUAAUAUGAUGAUGCAACUAGUAUACAAUUGGGGCUCAAUGUUUCGUCGUGUAGAUUAUAGUCAGUUCUACAUAGCGGUCUUGGAGAAAGGCGACACCCUGAUUGCUUUAGCAUCUAUCAAGUAACUGCUGUUGUGUAACCUCUAGUCACUAGGAACUUUUCAGUCUUAGUCCGAGUAUUGCACUGCUACUUCCUCCAUAUAAUCCUAUGCUUGUGGAAGCUAUCAUGUUGGAUAUGGAAGUGCUUGGUUUACUUUUCGUGUGGCUCAUCUGCUCUGUGCUCUUUACAGAUGAGUUCAUGAGGAGAAACCCGCGUGUGUAAGGCUAUUUGUUUAGUACCAACGUCAAUGAGUAACUUAGAGGUUUUUGGGCACCAGUGAACAUGUCUUAUCCAAAAAAAGUCUUUAACUUAAUACAAGAUAUACUUCUGGAGACACUAUUGAGUCAGAUUAGUAUUCUAUUGCAACUAGAGGUUCUAGUUUAGAAUUAGAUGUCUAGAUAUGAUAUAGACCUGUUUCUCAAAUUUGGUUCUUUGGUGAGGCAUGUAAAUUGAUCCUAGUAAGAAGCAUGGUAGCAAAGUCAUGCUCUAUCUGCUCCAGUUUAAGAUCAAACUUCAUUUUUCAUGUAUUGCAUUCUUCUUUGGGAUACU